rnacentral:lncRNA from 9 species
GUGGGCGGGGGGGGAGGGCUCAGGUCGGGAGCUGAGAAAGGGCUGGCGACCCCGCCUCUGCUCUUUCUCUACUUCAAAAGCAGCGUCCCCCCCGGCCAGCUGUGUCCUGGGGGAGCCAGAAGUUUAGCGAGCAGGACUAUCAGUUCCAGAAUAGAGUAAUCGCACAGUCAUAACCCCUUUCGUCUUUCUCUCAACGUGUCUUUUCAGAACACUGUGCCACUCAGUCUUCUAGUGUCCAGGUGAGUGGUCCGUGUUCUCGGUGUCUCUGGGAGGGAGGGAGUCCAGAAUGCAGGCCUCUCCAACCCCGAAUCUGGAUCUGUCUUCCCUCCCCUCCCCGCCAAGUCUGGACCUCCCACCCCCACGCCCCAAGCCCGAUCUGCACCCCCCCAUUCCAGAUCUGUACCCACCCCAGUCUGGAUCCGCCCCCAGUCUGGCUCUGCCCUCCCCCGCUUCUGAAUCUGGCCUCCCCACCCCGGAUCUGCAUCUCAGAGUCCCGAGGCCCAGGCACCACAGACUCGUCUGCCCAAAGUGCUGUCCCCACCUGAUGAGCUGGAAGCUGCCGUCUCUGUCUCUCGUGUCUCGGAAGGCAGGGCUUAAUGGCUGCAUCAGGAUUCAGGAGAAAAACAGGGCACCCUUUGACAGCAUUUUCAGUUAGCGGGAGAGAGGAGCAUGCUGCCUGUCCAAAAGCCUCUCUGGCUCCCUGAACGUAAGUGCUAUUUUGACGGUGCUCGCUGGUUGCUGUCAUCAUUAUCCCUGUAAACUUUCUCGCUUCCUAGAAAUGGGCCCUCCCUCUCAGUCUGCUUCUCCUGCCAGGCUUAAUGAACGUCCUGACGCGUAGGAAAAGGGUUAACGGCAUAACCCAAUCACACAAUAUCUCGGGCUACAGACAGCCAGCGAGCAAAGGCCGGCAGCAUGGUAACGAGGCCAGCACCGUGGGAACGGCGGGGCGGACAAUGAUGGGAUUGACAGUGAGCGUGGAAAGGCCACCUUUGGGAGAAACCGUAUCCCACAGCGUGCGGGGAAAGUGAGAAAUAGUAGCAGAUGCUGCAGGGCUAUGAGCAACAGAUGCUUCUGGCCAGGCUCCGCCAGCCAACCAGCUCACACCACCCUGAGCGGGGAAGAGCCCUCCCCGCCCCCGCCUUUGUUGGAGGGAGGCAGCAAAUACAAAUAUUGCAGAGGAAUUAAAAACAGCAGAUGGUGGCAGCAGGAUUUGAUGAGAUCAGGGUCAGGUACGG